rnacentral:rRNA from 1 species
GGAAGUAAAAGUCGUAACAAGGUUUCCGUAGGUGAACCUGCGGAAGGAUCAUUAAUGAAUUCACUAUGGAGUUGUUGCUGGCCUCUAGGGGCAUGUGCACGCUUCACUAGUCUUUCAACCACCUGUGAACUUUUGAUAGAUCUGUGAAGUCGUCUUUCAAGUCGCCAGACUUGGUUUGCUGGGAUUUAAACGUCUCGGUGUGACAACGCAGUCUAUUUACUUAACACACCCCAAAUGUAUGUCUACGAAUGUCAUUUAAUGGGCCUUGUGCCUAUAAACCAUAAUACAACUUUCAACAACGGAUCUCUUGGCUCUCGCAUCGAUGAAGAACGCAGCGAAAUGCGAUAAGUAAUGUGAAUUGCAGAAUUCAGUGAAUCAUCGAAUCUUUGAACGCACCUUGCGCCCCUUGGUAUUCCGAGGGGCAUGCCUGUUUGAGUGUCAUUAAAUUCUCAAACUCACUUUGGUUUUUUUCCAAUUGUGAUGUUUGGAUUGUUGGGGGCUGCUGGCCUUGACAGGUCGGCUCCUCUUAAAUGCAUUAGCAGGACUUCUCAUUGCCUCUGCGCAUGAUGUGAUAAUUAUCACUCAUCAAUAGCACGCAUGAAUAGAGUCCAGCUCUCUAAUCGUCCGCAAGGACAAUUUGACAAUUUGACCUCAAAUCAGGUAGGACUACCCGCUGAACUUAAGCAUAUCAAUAAGCGGAGGA